rnacentral:tRNA from 1 species
AAAGCACUAGUAAAAUGCUCAUUACCCUGCCUUGUCAAGACAAAAUUGUGGGUUGAACCCCCGCGUGCUUUA